GGACGCGUGGACAAGCCGGCCAUCGCGGCGGCACUGGAGCGGUUCGCACGAGGAUAGAGCGGGCGGACCCGGGUUCGAUUCCCGGCGCGUCCA
rnacentral:tRNA from 1 species